UUCAUCUGUAAAGUGGAAUGAUAAUAGGAC
rnacentral:piRNA from 1 species